rnacentral:rRNA from 1 species
GACGAACGCUGGCGGCGUGCUUAACACAUGCAAGUCGAACGAUGAACCCGGAGCUUGCUCCGGUGGAUUAGUGGCGAACGGGUGAGUAACGCGUGAGUAACCUGCCCUUGACUCUGGAAUAACUGCGGGAAACUGUAGCUAAUACCGGAUACGACCCUCGGCGGCAUCGCCAGGGGGUGGAAAGAAUUUCGGUCAAGGAUGGACUCGCGGCCUAUCGGCUAGUUGGUGAGGUAACGGCUCACCAAGGCGACGACGGGUAGCCGGCCUGAGAGGGUGACCGGCCACACUGGGACUGAGACACGGCCCAGACUCCUACGGGAGGCAGCAGUGGGGAAUAUUGCACAAUGGGCGCAAGCCUGAUGCAGCAACGCCGCGUGAGGGAUGACGGCCUUCGGGUUGUAAACCUCUUUUAGUAGGGAAGGAGCGAAAGUGACGGUACCUGCAGAAAAAGCACCGGCUAACUACGUGCCAGCCGCCGCCGUAA